GUCCUUAUGAUUAUAAUUUAAGGUCUAGCCUGCCCAAUGAAGUUUUAAUGGCCGCAGUAUAUUGACUGUGCUAAGGUAGCAUAAUCAUUAGUUUUUUAAUUGAAAGCUGGAAUGAAGGGUUGGAUGAGACAUUAGCUUUCUUUAUUUUAUUUUUUUAGAAUUUUACUUUUUAGUGAAAAGGCUUAAAUUUUUUUGAGUGACGAGAAGACCCUAUAGAGUUUUAUUAAUUAUUAUUCUUCUUAUUUUGGGAUUUAAUUUGAAGUUUAUAUAUUGAUUUGAUUGGGGUGAUUGAAAAAUUAAAUUAACUUUUUCUUUAUUUUAUACAGUAAUUUCUGGAUGUUUGAUCCUUACAAAAGAUUAAAAGAUUAAACUACCUUAGGGAUAACAGCGUAAUUUAUUUUUGGAGUUCACAUUAAAAAAUGAGUUUGCGACCUCGAUGUUGGAUUAAGGCUUCUUUUUGGUGCAGUAGCUAAAAUAGUAGGUCUGUUCGACCUUUAAUGCCUUACA
rnacentral:rRNA from 1 species